GUUCCUUCAGCAAUGGAGAAGGUAACAUCAAAUGCAAUCUCAACUCGGCUCAAAUUUAUCCACGACGGCAUCUUGAAUACUCUUUAUGGUAUUCUCUCUGAUGUCUUCCUCUUUUAUUUUCAACCCUUAGUCAACUUUAUCCGUAGCAGACUCAAGGCAUCCACCAAGAUAGCCAAAGAACAUCAAGAAAAGCUACUGAUCAGUGGAGGAGAUAUGAAGAUGGUGAUGGACAGACUAGGAAUACAACAAUGUGACUCAGAUGAUGACCUUCAAGAAAGGUACGAUGCAAGAGAGCUCUCAAGACUGUUUGAGGAGCAUGAACCAAGCUUAGAGGAAGUGAAAGAUGCUUUUGACAUUUUUGAUGAGAAUAAAGAUGGGUUUAUAGACGGUAAAGACUUGCAUAGAGUUUUGUGUUGUUUAGGCUUCAUAAAUGAAGGAUCAAAGGUGGACUAGUGUACAGAAAUGAUCAGUGCAGUUCAAAAGUAUGGAUCAGAUGGAAAGAUUGAUUUUAACGAGUUUGCCAUAUUUAUGGAGAAGUGUUUUUGUUGAAAUCUUCAAAUCCACCCUUUGAGAUAACAUGAACUGUGGACGGGGUGAGACUUAGGUUGUAUUUUCAGUUAGUCAUAGCUUGUUUCUCUCUCUAGUUACUAGAGAGAGAACUUAGUUUCUGCUUCGAUUUUUUUUUCCUUCUUCUCCGAGGCUCGGUCCUUUGUCUUUUUGCUCUUUGCGGCGGAGUAGGAGAGUUCUCCUUGCUUGGGCAGCGAGUUUACUCUCUCCACCUCCGCGGGUUAAGGGUAAAUAUUUCUUUUGUGGAUGGUUGUUUGCAAGUUUGGAAAUCUUUAGAGAGGGAAUCUAAA
rnacentral:misc_RNA from 1 species